rnacentral:tRNA from 1 species
AAUAAGAUGCCUGAUAAAAGGCCUAUUUUGAUAGAAUAGAUUAUGUAUAAAAAUACUCUUAUUA